AUGGACGAAAGCUCAACAGCUACGCCGCGUGAGGGAUGAAGGUGCUCUGCAUUGUAAACCUCUGUAGUUGGGGAAAAAUGGCGGGUUACUACCCGUUUGAUGGUACCCAAAAAGUAAGGAUCGGCUAACUACGUGCCAGCAGCCGCGGUAAUACGUAGGAUCCAAGCGUUGUCCGGAUUUACUGGGUGUAAAGGGUGCGCAGGCGGACUGGUUAGUCAGGGGUGAAAUCCCGUCGCUUAACGACGGACCUGCCUUUGAUACUGCCAGUCUUGAAUUAGCGAGAGGUUCGUGGAAUUCCGAGUGUAGCAGUGAAAUGUGUAGAUAUUCGGAAGAACACCAGUGGCGAAGGCAGCGAACUGGCGCUAUAUUGACGCUCAGGCACGAAAGCAUGGGGAUCAAACAGGAUUAGAUACCCUGGUAGUCCAUGCCCUAAACGAUGAUCACUUGGUGUCGGCCGCAAGGUCGGUGCCGGAGCUAACGCGUUAAGUGAUCCACCUGGGGAGUACGCUCGCAAGGGUGAAACUCAAAGGAAUUGACGGGGGCCCGCACAAGCAGUGGAGCAUGUGGUUUAAUUCGAUGCAACGCGAAGAACCUUACCUAGGCUUGAGAGGCUGUUCACAUCCCAUGA
rnacentral:rRNA from 1 species